UUUGUGCUUUGAAAGAAUCACUGUGGCUAGGAUUUGGUAGCUGGUGCUGAGAGAAAACCCUUGAUUGCAUCCUUGCCCUGGGAUUGUACCAGUGGCAACUGUCACUCAAUGGGACAGAG
rnacentral:snoRNA from 1 species